rnacentral:rRNA from 1 species
AUGUUAGGGCCGGCCCUGGCUGGGUCUAGGCGGCCGUCGGACGCCCCACGGUCAGCGCACUCAUUGUCGGCAUCAACCUCACGAUUGUCUUCCCCAUCCAUGGCGCACGUCUCCUCAAGGAGGACAACACCGACACUGCAUGUGGUGACCGCAGGCACGACGACAGAUGUCCACUUCUACUUCGUCUCUGGCUCCGGAUUAUUUCCUGCCUUUUACCAGAGCGAGAAUGGCAUCAUCCACUUCUACCUCCUCCAUCUCAAGGACAAAUCUCAUGCAACCCAUGGUGCUGCAUUUGAAGCGAUCAUUUGUAAUUUGGCAGUGACUAUUAUGUGUAUAAUGUAUGAGUUGGACUAUUUUUCGUUGUAA